rnacentral:rRNA from 1 species
AUGGACGCAUCUACAUCUCCUACGACACCACUUGGACCAACAACAAGAGCUCAAACAAAGGUUAUCGAAGAUAAGGUGAACCCGCUCCCCUCUGAACUCCCACUCUCUACACAUGAGACAUGGCUACUACCUCAAGCGGAGACACUAUGUGUGAUCAGGUACUUUGAGGAAGGCCAUGAAACAGCUACAUCCAAUGGACAAGACGGCAAGGACACCGACUAUGAGGCGCAAGAAGAAGAGCUAGAGAAGAAGCUCCAGCCACCGAACGACCGAAGUUCACGGCCUCUUCGGAGAAGAUCCCCCAAGUGGAUUCAAGACCCCUUUACGGGAAGACCCCCUCAAGACCUACUCACGAAGAAGAACUACCCCCACUUGUAUCGCCCCUUGUUGGAUUCAGAUCGUGUAUCUCUUUGUGUUUCGAGGAUCUAG